GGAAAGAAAACAAUAUGAAUUCCAUAAGCAAACUUAGCUAUGAGUUACUUCUGAGUCUUACAAAUAUACCCUUAGCUUAAUAUUGCCACCUCAUCAUCUGUAGAUUGCCUUCCCUCACACAUAUCACAACCAUCACAAAUUACAUGAAACAUCCAUCCAUGGAAAUUAAAAAGAAACAAAAUAACAUCAUAAAUGAUUCCAAAUUACAUAUGUAGAAAAAUAAUGACUAUAGAUAGAUACCAAACCACACAACAAACACAUUACACUGUUAUAAGACAGAACAAAAACACAAUUACUACAUAUUUAAGAUCAAUAAAACAAAAUUAAUCCUUGUGUUACACUUACACAUAUAUAACGAAGUACAUGCUUGACCAGUACAUGUUCUGUUACAUGAAUCGAUCCUGGAAGAAAGGCGUUACCUUCCCUUUGCCUUCAUGACUUGCCUUUUCCUUCAUCUCUUUUCACAUCAGGGAACAAGAGAGUGCAAUUCUUUGAUCACACCAUCAUCAUCUUCUUCAUUUUCUUCUUUCUCCAUAUCUUGAUCUAAUUUGUUACGUACACAAUCAGAAAGGAAAGAAAUAGAGGUUGCUUAACAUUCAAGUAUAUAUAUAAUAUAAGGAAAAACUGGUUAGCAUGACCCAUAAUAUAAUAUGAAUCCUCUACAANNNNNNNNNNNNNNNNNNNNNNNNNNNNNNNNNNNNNNNNNNNNNNNNNNNNNNNNNNNNNNNNNNNNNNNNNNNNNNNNNNNNNNNNNNNNNNNNNNNNNNNNNNNNNNNNNNNNNNNNNNNNNNNNNNNNNNNNNNNNNNNNNNNNNNNNNNNNNNNNNNNNNNNNNNNNNNNNNNNNNNNNNNNNNNNNNNNNNNNNNNNNNNNNNNNNNNNNNNNGUAACGACAAAACUCAUACACAGACUAUUCCAACUAUUGCACCCAAGCAUAUUGCGUCCGGAUUCUCAGCAACUAUAUUACAGCAGCAUUAGCAUUGUAAUGCAGCUGCUGAGGAUUCAGACGCAAGCAUCUCUUACUUUACUAUCGUGUAGCAAGUGGAGAUGGACUUUUAUUAUAGAUUAAAGAAGUCAAUAAAUGAUAUAAUAACGUACGUAAAGGAUGUCAGAUAGGUUAUACUAACGACAACUGUAAAGACAGAACAAGGAGGUAGAUAAGCACAUAGCUUGCAUUUUCUUUUGGUAUAAUUGUUUGGUGCUUUUAAUUAGUGGCGAUGUUUGAAGGGAUCUUUCAACAUUUGAGAUAUUUAGUUAUUUAUUUAAUAUUAGAGCAUUCUUCACAAUCUUUUUUUUUUGUUGACAUUUGUUUCUUUUAUUCAUGCCCCUAUUCAAUGUGUAUGUGUUGAAAGAGGAUCUAAUCCUUUCCCACGCCCUACUGAUGGAGCCAAAAAAUGCUAUAUGCAAAAGACUAUCCUACGUGCGAAAGUGUAAAAGACUAAUUCUUCAAAUUUUGUGGGAGUCUAGAUGAUAAAUUCUUCAUAAGAGUUUGUAGCAUGUCCAAGUUUAAAUUCAAAUCUUAAAUUUUAAUUAGGCUACUAACGUAAUCUCAUCCAAACACUUUAGAAUAUUUUACGAUUAUCAUAUUGUCACAUUUAAAUUAUAGAUGAGUGCUAGCAACAUUUACUUUUUAAUCGAUAGAAAUCAAUAACGAUGAAACUUACAUUUGUUUCACCCAAUAUAGAGUGACAAUUAAAAAAAGUACUCUUUUAAAUAAUAAAUUAUGCUCUUACAGAAACUAAACAAAUUAUGCAUCAUCAUGCACAAAGAUUGAAGAUACAACAAUAUUUUUCUGUGAUGUGUGUUUGUAGUAAAACUAGUUUUUAAUCCUGUGCUACCGCACGGAUGUAUUUUUUUUUUUUCAACAUUUUUUUGUUUGAUUCAUGAUAGCCCUAAAAAUGGGCCAAAACUACUAUUCAUGCAGCCAAUAGAAAAGAGGAAGAUAUAUAGCAUGAUCAAGCACCAAGGAUACAAAGAAAACUCUAACAAUUUACAAUCAUACAAUAUAAAUUAUCAGAACUAAAUAUACUUUUAUUUAAAUUUUUUGAAAAACUUCAGGAUAAACAACAUUUACAGUCGAUGUUUUGGUUAAUUCAUUACCAUCAGUAACCAUAACUUUCAAUCCANNNNNNNNNAAAACAAACACACAAUGGAAAUUGAAGACGCUGAAAACAAAUAGAAACGGUAGCAUCAGAUGGCAAUAAUCUCAUACGUGGAAUGAAGACAACACUACCAAUAUUUCGACCAGAAACAACUCGCGCCCCAAAAACACCAAAACCAAGAUGGGUUACAAUAAGACGGGUGCCAUUACAAAGCCCAGACGAAACAUCGAUGUUUCUCAAUAACAUAACAGGUACUCCAAUUUUGAGAAUAAGUCUAUGAUUAGGUAAACCAGAGCAUUUAAUUUCAUUAAGAAAUUCUGUUGUAAUCCAGCGAUGAUCAACAAUAGCAUCCUUAUCACACCUAGAUACAGAGUCACAACUAAGAUAUUCUCUGGAAUCAGAUGGAAUCAAUGAUAGCACAUAAUCGUUAAUUUGUUCAACGAUUUCUAAAGUUGGAGCUAGAAUUGCACGAUCCUCAAAAAAAUUAGGAAAAUACAUAUCUUUAAGCAAGCUAGGAUAAAUAGAAUCAACAAUAUCACCAAUAGGAUUAGUUAUACAUGGAACUAAAAUAUCUGGAGGAAUUUCCACGAUCAUGUCACCAUCCUCAAAGACACCAAUUUUCCCAUCACCAAUAUCAAGUAACCACUUAGCAAAUAUUGCUAAAUUUUCAUUUUCCACGGGAUCCGAUGAAUAUUGCAGUCUCAUGUUUUGAGUCAACUUCAGAACACGACACUUACACCAUAAAUAAGAUGAAUUAAUAGUAGCAUACACGAUAUCGGUUCUAGUACCUUUAGGAAUGACAGGCAAAAUUUGACUAAAAUCUCCACCGAAUACAACAGUCUUGCCACCAAACAAUAAAUUUGCAUUAUUAACAUCCACAUCAGUCAUAACAUCCUGUAAAGUUCUCUCAAAUGCUUCAAAUGCAAACUUACUAAUCAUUGGAGCUUCAUCCCAAAUAAUUAGACUUGCCAUUGCUAAUAACUGGGCUUUGUCACUCUUCACCACAAUCUUACAACAAGACUCCUUGGUUAAAUUCAAAGGUAUUCCAAAUUGUGAGUGAGCAGUUCUACCACCAGGAAGAAGUAUAGAUGUUAUUCCACUGGAAGCCACAUUCAAAACAAUCUUACAUUCUGAACGAAGUUUAUAAGAAAUGGUUUUCCAUAAAUAAGUCUUUCCAGUACCACCAUAACCAUAAACAAAAAAUAUUGAACCAACUCCAUUGUCAAUUGCAGCAAGAAUCUCAUUGUAGGCAACUACCUGAUCUGAAUUCAAAUUAGAUAAAUGUUCAUCGUGGAGUUUCUUCAUCUCAUCACAAUUAUACUUGAAUUCAUUUUCUAUUAAAAUAUUAUUAAAUCGACCAUUGUUGGAGACACGAAGCUUGGGCAUGCAAUCAUAAUCAUCAAGACAUUUUCCAUUUUCCCGAAGAAAGUUAUCAAUAUCUAAGAGACACAAUUGUUCCAAAUCUUCAUAAGAUAUGACAAGAUCUGCAUAAAAAAAAAUAUUAACAACAUUUUAAUCUUAAAAUUUACGAAUAAAUAUAUCAAAAAAAAUUAAAAAAAUUUACCAGGAUCAUUCAGAACUCUGCGUCAUUGAAACAAUAUACCAUCCAUUAGAACAUCAGAUAGUUGUUCCCAAACAUGUAAAGGAUCACUCAUGGUAUUUGACAUCAAUAGAUUUGCAAACAUCUAACGAAGUGAUACACCUGAACCAAGAACUGCAACCUCAUUAAUAGCAGCAAUAAAUUCACCAUCAUCUUCAAGCAAUUUCAAUGCAGCACAAGCAUCUCUAUAUGAGUCAUAAACAUGACCAUUCACAUUUCUCAAAUCUUCAUAACUUGUGCAACCAACCUGAACAUUCAACAAUAACUUCAAGUAGAAUAGAUCACGACUACUAUGAGGAAUAAAUGACAAACGACCAACAGAACUACCCCUCUGUCGAGGUUUCCAAAAUCGACCAUCGGAAUCAUAUGUAAACAUCGACGGAAAUUGACUAUAAGUCAAAUGACGACCUUCUGAAUAUUAGCAGUCAUCCAAGCCAAAAACAUGGUUUCCGUAUUCAUGUUAUACCUUAAAACAGAAGAUAAAUUGGAAGAAUCCUUAAAUAUCACUGAUUGUUUGCCUUCCUCAUGAAAAGUUAACCUAAUAACGGCUGGAUCUCUAAUAUGAAUCUUAAACCCAAAUAUUCUCCACACAGAUUCUGAAGGACUUAAAAAUCGACAAUCAUAGUACUGUUGUAUCUCAUCAACACACUCACCAUCAUGAGAUUGUAAAUUAGUCGUUACACGAUCAACCCCCUUAUUUAUAUACUUAAAUAAGUACUUAAUACAAUUUGAUUUAUUACAAAACUCAAUGUUAACGUGAGCCUGAUACUUCAUAAGAAGUUUAGGAUUGUAAGGCACAACACUUCGAUUAUCCAAAACUAUAUCCUUUUUUGUCACUGUAUGACCAAGAUCCCUACGUCUGUAUACAGGAUAUCCAUUUGAAUCAAAUUUAGUCCGUGUCACGAACUUCUUGGGAUAAAACUUAGAACAAUUAUUAUUUCGCAUGCAUGGAGAUGCAGUGUACGACAAUCCACAUGGUCCAUGAAUCAUAAAAUUGCACACAGCAGAAUAAAGUUUAGGAAACAAAUUUUUAUCUGGUAAUUCAACACAUAUAACAGAAUCAAUUGAAUCAGAUGACUGAAGCUUAUCCCGAGAAUCUAACCACAAAAGAAUGUGAGCAUGAGGUAGACCUCUUUUUUGAAAUUCAAUGGUAUACAUGCCUGUAAAAACACAAAGAAAAAAAUGAGAUAAACUAAAAUAUAAAUAAGCAUUAACACUAAAAUUUACUUAUAACAAACACUUACUUGCAACAACUCUUCCAAAAAAUCGACCUUUCUUAAAAUCAGACAUCAUUUGAUUCAACUUUAUUUGAAAGACACGGCAACUAAUGUCUGGUCUAUAUACUGCAUAAUUUCCAGAUCUGUUCAAAUGGCGUUGAAUCUCCGGCCACUUUGGGUUACACGUAAAUGUGAGAAAUAAAUCUGGGUAACCAAAUUUUUUGCAAGUUGACAUAACAUCCUGACAAUUAUUAAACAUAUAACGUCUUCCUCCUGUAAAAGAUGAUGGCAAGACUACUCGAGAUCCAAUAGAAGACGCAACAACAUCACCACGACUAACAGCUUCCUCGAUACCAGCCAAAAAGUCGGAUCUAAUUUUUGAUUGAUUUUUCCUCACAAAUGACAAACGUUGAGACUCUAUCAUCGAAUACAAAUCAACCACAAACUGCUGGAACAAUCUCCUACUCCUAAGCACAACUGAAUCCUCAAUAACCCUUUCCAUCAUUCGAAAAGCUAUGAAAGCACGAAGAGAAACACGAACUAAUUUUUUUUUUUUGUAGAUGUGGUAGUCAAUGAGUUAAUUGGAAUGUUCUCUUGAUAUUGAUCCUCGCCAAAAGGAAAAAGAAAUGGAUAUUGGAGUGGAAUAUAUUUUGCAUGUGUUUCAUGCAACCUCCUCAAAUGACCAUCCUUUUCCCUAACAACAAUAUCCCUACCUUCCUCCCCAUCUCCAAUAUCACCAACUACCAAUGCAGCCACUUCAUCUCAAAUGAUCAUGUUGACGAUUACGAAACAAUUGCAAUGAUACGGGAUCUGAUUGACCAGAUUGUAUAUAAUCACGUACCAUCCUAAAACCUUGCACGAGUUUAUUGCGAUUGUCCAAAACUCCCAAUAUUUCUUCAACUAAUUGAGGAUCAAUGGGAUGUUGAGGUCCAAUAGAACUACAAAUUCAAAAGAAUAAUAAAAUAAGCUUGUAUGUUAAAUUUUAUAAAAAUUAACCAAUAAAAAUCAAAACUAAAAUAAUUUAUUUAAUUAAAUUUAAAUACACUAACACUAUAAUCAAACAACAAAUACUUUUCAAAUGACAAUAUACCUGAAAUGAGACAAACGAUUGUAAACCUCAUUCUGAGUAUCAUAAAUAUAUAACUGAGCAAAUUUCGGCGGUUGACUAUCACUUGGAACCAAACUACCAAUACGAUGAUAAUUCUGACCGGAAAUAANNNNNNNNNNNNNNNNNNNNNNNNNNNNNNNNNNNNNNNNNNNGGUCCAGCACCAUCAUCAGCACCGGAAUCAAUCUUUCCUCCAAGAGAUGUAAAAGAGAACAUAUUAUUAUAAGAUCUAAUGUUGAAUAAAAAGCCAGAGCUCUUUGGAUGAAAACCAUUAAACAGGCUACGUAACAAUUGAGGUGGUUCUUUCAUGUAAGGAAUAGUAACCUUCCCUUUUUUACAACACAUAGAUAUUUUUAAAACAGUCUUUGCUUUAUGUUUUUCAGCUCUUUCUUCAUACCAAAUGAGAGCACCACACUUAGGACAAGAUACAUCCAUGUCCCCAAUAUCUGAAUACUCUGUUUUACAUACAAAUAAAAUUAAUCACAAUAAUGUAAAUGAAUUAUAGAACAAAAUAGGCUAUUUAUUUAUACUAAAGAAAACAUUACCCUGAACUUCGCUGGGACGAAACAACUCAAUAUUUGAAAACUCGUACUGUAAAAAUUCCUCGCUUUGAGACGAACCAACUUCACGUUCUUUAACACAUCAUGAAUAAAAUAAUCAUAAUUAUAAAUAUCAUAUACUAUAUUUAAAAACGAAAUUAACCAUUAACUAUUAUUUCACAUGAACAAAUAUAUUGUUGCAUACCUAAAAAACAUUAUACUCUUUCUAACAGUUUGAUGCACAAUCUUUCUAACAAUAAACAUUAUACUCUUUCCCAUAAUGAGCCUAAAAGCCUUAUAGAACUUAUCAGUGCUUAGUCCCUGCAUAAACAUUUACAUUAUAAAUCAUAUCAAUCUUAAAGAAUCAACCAACUGAAAUUCAAACAAUUAAACAUAACUUCUAAAUUUAUAUAUCAGUGAUCAACCACCACAAACCUUGAAAGAUGACUCAGGAGCAGCAAUGCUAACCAAUACACUAUCAAAACCUUCAAAGAGAGUAAAGCCAGUCUCAUCAUCAACUUCAAAUGUUCGCCUUACCCAAAGAACACAAUACCACAGCAUAGAUGCAUCAGUAAAUAAAAAAAACAACAAUAAAUAAAUUUCCAUAUAACCCAACUAAUUAACACUGAAACUUACAUUGGCGCAGCAGUAAAUUUUGUGGCAUUACACUUUUCACAGUGAAAAUCUCCAAGGUACUUCUGAUAAAUUCGAGGACAUUUGCAAGUUGCAAACCACCAAGGAUCAAUCUUGACAAUAUCACAGAUCCUAGCAUUAACAAUGUAAACUCCUAACUCUGGAUUUGCCUUUAAUUCCACAAUAGUCCGAACAGGGUAAUCUCUCAGAAAUUCAAGUGUUUGGGACAAAGGAACAUGAGCAGUUGGACCAAGCAAACCACUAUACUGAAGACUCCUACUCAAAUACGAAACCAAUCUAUACAUCAAACAACAAAAAAGAAAAAUCAUUAAAUUAUAAAACAUAAAACCAAAAUAACUCAUACUACAUUUAUCAAUGAUAACUAACUACAUACCCAUUCCUAUAAUUAAUGAUUUCAGGAAUCAAGAGAUUGGCAAAUAUUCUAGUGACUCCUUCAACACCAACAACCAAAGUACGACCUGAACAAAUGAAAAAAACAUAACAUACAUAUCACAAUCUUAUCAAAUACACAAAAUCUUGUCAGUUACGCAGUACACAACAUAUGUUCUGCAAGACAUGACCACGAACCUUGAGAAAUUGUAAUCUGCACGAACUGCAACACGAGGAUAGGCAAUCCAUUAGUACAAUGCUCCAACUUCUGCCUAAACUCUUCAAUCAAAUUACCAGACAACUCGCAAUAGAAACAUUUUCUGCAUUACUCACAAAACAACAAACAACGUUAUAUCUUAAAAAUCAGGAACAAACACAAUAGACAACACAAAAGACCAAAAUCUUUGAUCAUUCAACUUGAAAGUGACGGACUAGGCAACACUCCCAUCAGGGAAAAAGUCUUUGUCAUGAUUAAUGGAAGUAACAACAACAAUAACAUCUGAAAAUUAUAAAUUCCCCAUUUAAAAAUGACAAAUUAACAAAACAAUAACAAAAUCUCGUAGAAAUUUUACAGCAUUACAAACACCAAAGUCACAACUACUCACCAACCAAGUGCCUAUAACGUGUCCUCUUGAGAACACUUUCAAAGCUAAUCAGCGAUAAACCAUACGUUGGUAGCAAGUCAUUAGCAAAAGGAACAACCUUUGAGUUCUCGUUGAAAUCAAAUUUAUACCUGUGAUAACUUGGUAGAUAAAAACCAAAGUUAAAACCAACAUUCAAGAAAGAUAUCUGAUAAACUCCUCCCUCAACAAUCUGAUCAUCAAAAGCAGCGACAAGAUCAUUUGCUAUAGAAGCUUGAAUCUUAUGUCCCUUAAAAAAAAAAACUCAAGAUAAGAACAGCUCAGAACAACAAUAAUCAACACAAAAUCAGCAAACUUAUUCAAAACAAACCUCCUUAAAAAUAGAUCUAUAAAAAACUACUUACAUUCUUAUCGAUUAAUACCAGCUCAACAGUAGAAGAACCACCAGAACUCAAAAAAUAUNNNNNNNNNNNNNNNNNNNNNNNNNNNNNNNNNNNNNNNNNNNNNNUCAAAACCCUGACCUCAUAAACGCCAUUAGUCUUAGAUGGAUUCACAGCCAUAAUAUCAUCAAACUGAAGCUCGGGAAGCUUGGACAUGGCCAUUGAAGCCUGCGAUAUUGAACAAAGAGACAAUCAGAA
rnacentral:lncRNA from 1 species